rnacentral:rRNA from 1 species
GACGAACGCUGGCGGCGUGCUUAACACAUGCAAGUCGAGCGGUAAGGCCUCUUCGGGGGUACACGAGCGGCGAACGGGUGAGUAACACGUGGGUGACCUGCCCUCAGCUCUGGGAUAAGCCUGGGAAACUGGGUCUAAUACCGGAUAUGACCUUUCCUCGCAUGGGGUUUGGUGGAAAGUUUUUUCGGCUGGGGAUGGGCCCGCGGCCUAUCAGCUUGUUGGUGGGGUGAUGGCCUACCAAGGCGACGACGGGUAGCCGGCCUGAGAGGGCGACCGGCCACACUGGGACUGAGACACGGCCCAGACUCCUACGGGAGGCAGCAGUGGGGAAUAGUGCGCAAUGGGCGGAAGCCUGACGCAGCGACGCCGCGUGGGGGAUGACGGCCUUCGGGUUGUAAACCUCUUUCGACCCCGACGAAUUUGGACGGUAGGGGUAGAAGAAGCACCGGCCAACU